rnacentral:ncRNA from 1 species
ACAACCGUGAUUCCGUGAGUAGUGGCGAGCGAAAGCGGAAGAGGCUAAACCGUAUUCGUGUGAUACCCGGCAGGGGUUGCGUGUACGGGGUCGUGGGACCUGUUCGUCAGUUCUGCCGAGCUGGCAAGGAGUCAUAAAACGGUGUUGUUAGCGGAAUGCGUCUGGAAAGCGUGGCCGUAGAGGGUGAAAGUCCCGUACGCGAAAACUCACCGUCUUCUUACAGUGUUCCCAAGUAGCAGCGUACUCGUGAAAUUCGCUGUGAAUCUGGCGGGACCACCCGCUAAGCCUGAAUACUCCCUGGUGACCGAUAGCGGACUAGUAC